ACUCACACUUCCUUUGUCAGUAUCAUGUAGGCCAAAGGAGACCCAUCAAAAACUUUUGCUAUCUAGGAAUAUUUUUUUUUCUAAGAAUAUUUUUAAAGCAUUGAAAUAAUUUAAGAAAUUUGAGCUUUAAUGGAGCUUUUGAGUUUUAAAGUUUUUGCGUUUUGUUUUGGUCUUAUUGCUAAGGUUUUUCGGAUUAAGGCAUGCCAGCCUCUUGGUAACGAUUUUUGGUACUCUGACUAAAUUGCACAGACUCACUUGGCCAUGACAGUUUUUCUGUCCUGCCUCACUGACUCAGAGCUCUAGCCGUGUCUGCCACCUACACCACAGCUCACGGCAAUGCCAGAUUCCUAAUCCACUGAGAGAGGCCAGGGAUCGAACCCACAACCUCAUGGUUCCCAGUCGGAUUCGUUAACCACUGAGCCAUGACAGGAACUCCUCACGAACAUUUUUAAAAGUAAGUUUUUUCAUUUUUGUAGAUGUGUAUUUUAGUUAAUAGUUUUUCCUGUCUUCAUUUUCCUUCAUAAAAAAAUGAGAUAUUCCUGAGUUAGCACUCUCCUGAAAUGUACUGUUUGGCUCAGAUCUGUGCUCUGUAUAGAGUGUCCUGCGCCUGCCCAUGUCUGACUCGGAAGGGGAGACACAGAUGGGAGAGCGGGUGACUGACUCAGAGAGCUCUAAAUGAUCUUACUAUGCUUGAGCGAGCCACACCUAGAAACCUUGACAAUAAUAAGACCUGUGUUGGAUAUGCCUUACUUGUCAGAUCCUGUCUGGAUUUUAGUCUGUCACAUGUGUGUUGUUCAUCGGCAGAGUUAAAUGGGUACCAGAACAAUUGCAAAGCUUUAACCAGACCCAUGAUUACACUGUUUCUCACUUCAGCCAUACAAAGAAAAUGAAACACAAACCCAAAACAAAUUUCUAGUUGUUUCUGUUAUUGUAGGUUCUGGUCAGUGGUUUUAGUGCUACAGAUCCUACACCAAGAUAGAUGUUCAUGGGUAAAUUCAUUAAGAUAAUCAGUGUCGGUGGCAAGCUGUUAAUGUUUUAAAAUAACUUUUCUCUGGGAGUUCCCAUUGUGGUGCAGCAGAAACGAAUCUGACUAGUAUCCAUGAGGAUGUGGGUUCAUUCCCUGGCCUCGCUCAGUAGGUCAAGGAUCCAGCAUUGCUGUGAGCUGUGCUGUAGGUCACAGACACGGCUGUGAUCUGGCUGUGCUGUGGCUGCGGUGUAGGCAGGCAGCUGUAGCUUCAAUUGGACCCCUAGCCUGGGAACCU
rnacentral:lncRNA from 1 species